rnacentral:lncRNA from 1 species
CUCUGACUGGUCUAACAGUGAAGUCCAGUUCUUUGGGAAUCUGUUCUGUGCAGCAGCAGAGAGAGAACAGCAGACAGGAGAGAAGAUACUGGAGCUGUUAUCAUCAGUGUGCACAUAUGAAACAUUCCCUUUUGAUAUCAUAGAUGAUAAAGAUGAAAAGGAAUCUCAGUGUGGUUUCCUGCUGGAUCUGUACUCCCACCUGAAGGACAAAGAGACUGAAACUGGCCUGAGAGUCCUUCCAUCAUUACAGUCAGUUUUCCAGUCAGCUCCUGCAGUCUGGUCCAUAAACCUCUCAAAGAGAAAGAGCUCCAUCCUCCUGGAAGUGCUGAAACUCACAUCAGAGAAGAAACAAGUGAAGCUGACAGGCUGCUCACAUGAAGAGAGUGAAGUGAGGAGUUUCCUGCAGUGUCUGCCUCAUAUCUCACAGCUCAGUGUCUCUCGCUGGUUUGUAUAUGAAGAUGAAGUCGAGUUCUUUGGGAAUCUGUUCUGUGCAGCAGCAGAGAGAGAACAGCAGACAGGAGAGAAGUUACUGGAGCUGUUAUCAUCAGUGUGCACAUACGAAACAUUCCCCUCAAAUGACAGACGCAUUCAUAGCAAAUAUCAGUGUGGUUUCCUGCUGGAUCUGUACUCCCACCUGAAGGUCUAUGAGACUGAAACUGGCCUGAGACUCCUUCCAUCAUUACAGUCAGUUUUCCAGUCAGCUCCUGCAGUCUGGUCCAUAAACCUCUCAGAGAGAAAGAGCUACAUCCUCCUGAAAGUGCUGAAACUCUCAUCAGAGAAGAAACAAGUGAAGCUGACAGGCUGCUCACAUAAAGAGAGUGAAGUGAGGAGUUUCCUACAGUGUCUGCCUUAUAUCUCACAGCUCAGGUGAGACUAAUUAUAUGUUUCUAAAAAUAUAUAUAAUUUUUAAUAUGUAUCCCGUCUCGUCAGUAAGGACAAAUAUUGUUUCAUCUGAAGUCUUCUCAGUCACCCGUGGCACACGACAGGGAUUUCCUCUGUCACCCCUGCUGUUUGCUAUUGCAAUUGAGCCUUUAGCACUGUCAUCACGCCAGACAACACAACUGUCCGGGAUAUAUGCGGAUGACCUCUUGAUAUACCUCUCU